GGCCUCGUAGUUCAAUGGAUAGAAUGGGAGUUUCCUAAACUUUUGAUACAGGUUCGAUUCCUGUCGAGGCUACUA
rnacentral:tRNA from 1 species